rnacentral:piRNA from 1 species
UACACUUCUUGGUGAUAAUGGACUGA